rnacentral:lncRNA from 1 species
AUGUGUGUCACCCAGACGCUCUGUCCUGUUUCUCUCUGUCUCUCGUCUCAUCUGUGCUCAUCCUGCUAUUCUCUCAGUCUGUCUGAGAGGGUAGAAGAGGAAAAUGGAGAGGAAACAUUUUUCCAGAGUCCCACCCCUUCCCAGCCCCCAUCCGCACCCGCACACACACCCGCAGCCGCCGAUGAAGAGGAGGAGGAAGAGCUGAGUCUGAAAGGACGUCCCCCUCCCGCCCCUCUUUUUGGUGAUGACAGUGAUGAUGCUGAUGACCUGGACUGGCUGGGCUGAUGUGAACCUCCUCCAGUGUUAAAAAACCAGUGCCUGACGUCAGACGACUGCCGGCAACAACGCCAGACAGGAGGAAAUGAUGUUUGUGUGCCGGGCCGCCGUGGACAUGGACUUUAAUUAGUGGGUUGGGAUGUUUCUUGAAACAUUGUUCUGGGAACAGCGAGUAACUUCCUGCCCAAAACCUUUAAAAAGCAUUUGAAUGAAAUCUCUCUGGCAGUAUGGAUCGACUGCUGCUCAUAAACUGAUUUACUGCACGUACAAAAAAAAAAAAAAAUCAUCUUUAAAUCUACAAAUACUGACAUAAAAACGGUUGAUUUUUUUAAAAUCUUAAUUUAUGAUAUAAUGUUCCCAUCUUUAACAGAGUUUUGAUGCGUAAUUCAGCUUGCUGUCACUGUUCUUAAUAUUUAUACAUUAUAACUAAACAGCAAUUAGUUGCAUAUUAAUAAAGAAAUGAGAGAGUGGCUGUCACGGUUUCUUUAGUGUUUGACUGAUUUCUUUAUCAGGUCAUACUCUAAAAGAGGGAAAACUAUAAUAAACAAUGGGACAUGAUAGAAAGUUGCCAGUCAGAUACAUCAAUAAAGGUAAGUAGUGCUAUGGGUUACAGUAAGGAAGAACAUACCAUUGAAUUAAUUAAUACACAACGUGUGCAUUAACUAUUAAUAAUUCAGCAGCCUGUCGUCAGUCAUUCGGCCUUUAUCACCUUCACCACCUGUAACGUGUCUCAUUCAUAAAACACAAGCUGAAGGGGGAUUUUGCUAAUUUAACCGCUUCCUUUCUUCCCUGAUAUGAAACUGUACAAUUGUUUGCAUACAAAACAAGCCUAUCAAGCCAUUCACAAAGAACACGUUUUUGCAUUCCAUUGUGCUGCUUUUCCAUAUUUAUUUAUGUAAAUAUGUGCUAGAUGGACAUGUUUAACGGUCGUGCUCCUGUGUAAAGACACACGGCAAAUGACACGGCAUUCUACAUUCACAACGCUCAAGUUAAAACUAGUUCUGUAUAGUAUAGAAGCUGGUUUCCACCAUGAGAGAGAAACAUCCUAAUCACUGCUUUUAUCAUUUUUUUCUUGCAAUUCUGAUUUUCUGUCUCACAAUUGUCUUUCUCAAUUCUUAAAAGAAAACUAGAAUUGUAAGAUAUAAACUUGUGAGACUGUUAACUCAGAAUUCUAGAGGAAAUAAUUCAAAAACUGUUAAGAUAUAAACUAAGAAUAGAGUUCUUGUAACAUGACAACUCUUCAGAGGGAUUGGCAUGGUAAUGUACAUGACAACGUUAAUGUAUUUGGUCUUGGCGAAAUAGAUCUGCUACGCUGCUGUGGCACCAGUACUUGCUACUGCCAGUACAUCCACAACAUGCUGCUGUGAGCAUGUAAGAAAUAUUGCUGCUGCAAAUUUAACAUACAUGAAAUAACCCCCAUAUAGCAUACAUGAAUUACCUCGUAGCAGAUCUAUACAGGUGGAGCUGGGGAAGGUGGAGGGUUUCUGAAGCAAGCUGCAACUGCUACGGUAAGCCCUAGUCAUAUAUUUGAAUGCUGAGCAGCUAGCUCAUUGGCUACUGAUACAGGAGAGAACCAAUCAGCUGUGCCAUGUGAGAAUGAUGUCAUUAGGUCAGACUGAGUUAGACCGAUCAGACUGCGCCAUCUAGAGUUUCAUGCCAGAACUCUGUAUAUACAAACUCGCGAGGUGUAAACUUAGAAUUCUAAGGGGGACCAAAGUCAGAAUUGCGAGAUAUAAACUUGAAAUGGGUAAACUUAGAAUUCUGAGGAAAAAAUGUCAGUGACCCGUUUAGCUUUUACCGAAGAUACUCAGUAGUUUAUAAAACCCUUUGCUUUAAUGUCGUUUCUGCAGAUGUGAUAUGUUAGUGUGUGUGACGUCACUAAAAGAGCAUAAAUAAACUUGGAGGUCAACAAAACAUUUGCGUAAGGCUCACUAGAUCAUCAGGACAAAGCAAACUGAAACAAGGAUGCAGUCCUGUGGAGGUGUUUGUGUUCCUGAGCUCCCAACGGAUGUCAUAAAAGACACUGCUUCAGUUAGCGUCUUAAUAUUUCCCAAAAAGUGCUAGUUUUAGAUGAGUGUCUGUCCAUAAGAAACCCACCACCAGUGAAAGCUGGUGCCAUAUGAGAGCGAGUCAUCAGAGGAGUUAACGAGGGCAGAUUAAAAAAAAUAAGCUUCAUGGUACCGCUGUGAACACCAGAGAUGGAUCAUCGCAGGUCUAGCAUUGAUACAGUGCUUUCUGUGCUUAUGUCCUUUCAAAACACAGGUAAAUAACAGGUUGAUGUCACUUACAGUAAAAGGAGGUUCUUUGGGGUGCGGAUGAAAGCCUUUCUGAGUGCAGGUUGAGAUUUCCUCCAUGCCAUAGUCUGUCAGCCUUAAGUAUCCCGUCCUGAACAGGUGCACACGUAUUGUAAAGAUAUUGACAUCCUUUAAUAUACAGGUCCUUCUCAAAAAAUUAGCAUAUUGUGAAAAAGUUCAUUAUUUUCCAUAAUGUAAUGAUAAAAUUAAACUUUCAUAUAUUUUAGAUUCAUUGCACACCAACUGAAAUAUUUCAGGUCUUUUAUUGUUUUAAUACUGAUGAUUUUGGCAUACAGCUCAUGAAAACCCAAAAUUCCUAUCUAAAAAAUUAGCAUAUUUCAUCCGACCAAUAAAAGAAAAGUGUUUUUAAUACAAAAAAAGUUAACCUUCAAAUAAUUAUGUUCAGUUAUGCACUCAAUACUUGGUCGGGAAUCCUUUUGCAGAAAUGACUGCUUCAAUGCGGCGUGGCAUGGAGGCAAUCAGCGUUCUUUUUUUUAUAUU